ACCGUGAGGGAAAGGUGAAAAGCACCCCGAUGAGGGGAGUGAAACAGUACCUGAAACGGAUUGCCUACAAGCAGUUGGAGCCCUUUUAUGGGGUGACAGCGUACCUCUUGCAUAAUGGGUCUGUGACUUAAUCUAUCAAGCAAGCUUAAGCCGUUAGGUGUAGGCGCAGCGAAAGCGAGUCUGAAUAGGGCGACAUAGUUUGAUGGAUUAGACCCGAAACCCGGCGAUCUAGGCAUGACCAGGAUGAAGGUGGGGUAACACCCACUGGAGGUCCGAACCGAUUAAC
rnacentral:rRNA from 1 species